UUAUGGCUCAGGAUGAACGCUAGCGACAGGCUUAACACAUGCAAGUCGAGGGGCAGCAUAAAAGUAGCAAUACUUGGUGGCGACCGGCGCACGGGUGAGUAACGCGUAUGCAACCUACCUAUCGAGAGGGGAAUAACCCGGCGAAAGUCGGACUAAUACCGCAUAAAACAGGGGCACCGCAUGGUGAUAUUUGUUAAAGAAAUUCGCUGAUAGAUGGGCAUGCGUUCCAUUAGGUAGUUGGUGAGGUAACGGCUCACCAAGCCGACGAUGGAUAGGGGAACUGAGAGGUUGGUCCCCCACACUGGUACUGAGACACGGACCAGACUCCUACGGGAGGCAGCAGUGAGGAAUAUUGGUCAAUGGGCGAGAGCCUGAACCAGCCAAGUCGCGUUGAAGGAAGAAGGAUCUAUGGUUCGUAAACUUCUUUUGCAGGGGAAUAAAGUGCAGGACGUGUCCUGUUUUGUAUGUACCCUGAGAAUAAGGAUCGGCUAACUCCGUGCCAGCCGCCGC
rnacentral:rRNA from 1 species